UCUGGUGGUAAUGACGUGAAGGUAACACCCCUUUCCAUACCGAACAGGAAGGUUAAGCUUCACAGUGCCAAUGGUACUGCAGGGGAGGCCCUGUGGGAGAAUAGGUCGCUGCCAGGUA
rnacentral:rRNA from 1 species